rnacentral:lncRNA from 1 species
AAAAUCAAGAGUUGGAACUUCAACCUUCUUCCUUUUAAGAACAUCUUCUCCUUCUUCCUUUAAAGAUCUUGCCCAUUUACCUGGUAAUCAUAGUUAUUUUAGCAUAAGUCCUAAAUCAUAUUUUUUCACUAGAUGAGAUAUCUCUAGACAUGCCACCUAAUUUUUAAACAGAACACUAAUGAUUACAAGUUUCCUUUUUGUGAUUACUGUAAAGCCUUUAACGAACCAUUUAAUGCCUAGUGUUUUUUCUUUUUUAAUUAUUCCCCAAAUUUUCAGGAGUGGAAUAAUUGGGUCAAAAGAUCUGAUGGAUCCUGAUAUAUAUUUCCAAGUCUUUUCCACAGGAAAAACUGACCAGUUUGCAAGUUCCAUCUUCAAUUGGGGAACCAAUGUUGUCUCCAUUAUUCUGCAUUAGGUAUUAGUAUUUUAUUAAACUUACUGAUCCGAUCUUGGCUCUUGCAUAACAUUUUUUGCGUGAGGGACGAAGCGUGAUCCUGCCUGACCCUCGUCUACCGCGGCUCUGGGCGGGGCGGGGGUGGGGGGGGUGGGGGGCGUUGGAGGGUGCGCUGUGCUCGGGCGCCCCCUGUCGCCCAUUGUGACGCCGGUCGCGUGCCGGAUUCCCUAGGCGAGCAGCGGCGGCAGCGGCGGCGGCGGCGGCGGCGGGGCAGAGCCCCUAAACCAUGGCCGAGUCACAAGAGCUGCUGCUGCAGCUGCAGAAGGACAACCGCGACGGGCGACUACGGAAGCAGGAGCUGGAGGAGCUAGUGCGGGGGCUUGAGGCCGAGAGCGAGAGCCUCACCGGGCGCCUGCAGGACCUGCGGGAGCGUGAGCGCAGGUGCGAGGGAAGCGGGGCUCAAUGGGGACGAGGCGGGCGCGCGAGGGUCAGUACUACGGGUGGUGGCACCCAGGCCUGGGCAGAGCGGCUGGCCGGCCCGUCGGUUACGCCUCCCCGCAGGGCCCGAACCUCCGCUCUAAGCCGGCGGGACCUGGAAGAUCUACUCAGGGGACCCACGAAGGGGAGGGUGCGGCGACCCGGCGCGGGCUUCCUCAGCCUCACUAGUAACUGGCCUUUCCCGGCGGUUGCGGGAGUCUGAACACCCGCCGCCUCCCUCGGUGGCACCGCCUCAGUUUCCCCUCUGCAGCCUACAGCGGAAGCGAAGCCAGGCGGCGCGGGCCCAGAGAGGGGAGGCGCGCGAGGCGGCGCGGGAGCGCGCGGAGCGCGCGCGCGCGCUGCUGGAAGCGGCGGAGCAGCACAAGCAAGACUUGGUGGGGCCUGGGCCUCGACUGGGGCUAUGCCUGCGGAGAGGGCGGGGCCCUAAAUAGGACCCGGGCAGGGUCCGGACCCAGUUUGGGGCCGUUCCGAUGCUGGGACCCCGCCCCGACUGGGGUAGGGCCAGCAGCGGAGCCUGGGGUCUCUGAGAGGCCCAGACUGCCCCCCUCAACCCUAUCCACAGGAGCAACACAACCGGCAGUUGCAGGAGCAGUGGGAGGAGCUGUCAAGUCAGGUACAGUCAGGAGGCGGCCUUGGUCUCUAGCUUCCCCUAGGAAGUCCCGUUGUAGUCCUCGCCCCGGUUUUUACCCUGUCCCGGCCUUUAAGGACAUCCCCUACCCCUUGAAGCCCCGCAAACCCCGUCCUCACAAGACCCAUCCCUAGCUCUUCUACUACGGAGGGGAACAACUGAGUCAACAGCGCGCAGAACAGCAACUCGGGACCCAACUGAUGGCUUUGCAGGUGUUUGGGUGGGGCCCCCAAUGCCGGAGCGGCGGUGCGAGCAGCUCCCUGAGGGGCGGGGGUGGGCCAAGCGGACGCGUGGGUGGGGUUCCGGGAGUGCUGGGCUCCUGACAUUCCUUGGAUCCGUCGGAAGAAACAACUGGAGGUGGUGGAGGCCAAGCACGCCAAGCAGGCCGAGGGCCUGCGGCAGGUGCGAGCGAAGCUGGGGUUUGAGGGAGAGUGUCGGUUUCGAGUGUGGGUGGAGCCUGGGCAGGUGCAGGAUGGAGAGGGGUUAUUAUCCCAAGUCUCAUCAGGGCCCCCCACAUCCCAGGGCGUGCAGCGGACGGAGGAGGCUUGGGCCAGCUUUCAGGAGCAGAGCGGAGUCCUGCAGGUACGACCCCCCUCAGUCCCAAGAGCAGCUCACCUCCGACUCCACUGUGGCUCCCACUCCUCCACCCCCAGAGCUGCUCCUCUCUCUCCCCGCCCCACCCCACCCCCAGAUCUCCUCUGCGAGUCCUGGGGCCUUACUCCCUCCCCGUCCAGGAGCUGCAGGGAAAGGUGAUGGAGGCGGCGGCUACGCUGGACGCCUCGAGGGGCGGCCGGGAACUGUAAGGGGUUCAGGACUGUGGGGGUAAGGUGGGGUGGCUGUGGAACCGAGGCAGAUCGUCCACCUCGAUGCCCUUCCCGGCAGGUGCGACUCCCAGCCUCGACGGAUGCAGGACUGCGCGGGCUCGCUCAUGGAAGAGGUGGCCAAAGCUGACUGUGUGAGCGCGGGCCCUGGGCGGGGCGCGCUGGAGUCGGGACCCAACACAUGGGAGAUACCCACACCCACGGGGUCCCACCUGCCCUCGAGGGCCCGCCCCCCGACGGAAUCGCAACCCCCGUACCCGCCCUGCGGGAGACUGGUCCCCUACGAUUCCCUCCCGCUCCUUGAGAGACCCGGACCUCGCGGCGCCCUCCGCUCCGGCGCUGAGCUGGACGCUGCUCCGUCUUUCCGUAGGAGAGGCGGCUUUUCGGCGGCACCUGCGGAGCGGGCCUCAGGUGAGCCAGUGGCAGGCGGCGGGCGCGCUGGGCGUCUUGCCCGCCACUGCCCGUCUAUCCGUCCGUCCUUGGGUCCGCAGGCUGUGGGGUCUGGGCGCGCUGCAGACGCUGCUGUUGCUCCCGCUUGGUUUCCUGGCGCUGCCUAUGCUCUGCCUGAUGCUGGUGAACCCCUCCGCCCUCCGCGGGGGGCUCCCGCGCUUCGACUUGGACGCAGCCUUCCGCGGUUUGCGCUACACUCUGUCCCCGCUGCUCCAACUGCGCGCGCGCGGCCUGCUGCCCGCCUAACGCGCAUCAUGCCGGCCGUGGCCACAAGCACUAAGCACUUCUGUCUCCUGUGUGGUUUCUGGGCGCCUGGGGGGAGGCCGAGGGGAGACUCCUGGGGUGGGGGGUGUAAUGUGUCGCUCGGCCCAGCGGCCCUGGCACCUCCGGCGCAGAGGGUGCUGGGCCUUCCAGGCGGUGCUUAAGUUUGCAGAGGCUGUCCCGGGCGCCUCUCGGCGGAGCCCGCGACUCGGGAGUGAGCAGGGUGCGUCCUCGUCUGACACCGGCGCCUUGGGCUGGCUCGCACCAAGGAGCUCCCGGGAGGGGUCCCCUUUCCUGCAGCCCCUGCUGCCACGCCUGAGCCAACUCGGAAGUUGGCCAGUAUCUUUUGCUAAACUUGCUUUUUCCCUGCUAGUGAGCCUGGGGGUUGGGGGAGCAGGCCGGUCAAGUCCUCUCCGUGGAGAUCCGUGGUUCCUCUGGCCCGGCUGCUUGGGGGUGAUUUAGUUCCCCACAGUACCUCUUGUUUUUUUUUUCAGGGUCGGUUCUUCUUGGUGCGGGUUCGGGCAUUCCUCUCCUGUGGUCCGCCCCGCUUUCCGGGAGUCCCAGCCCUGCUGGCAGUGUACGUGCAGCUCACCACUGCAGUCUUUGUGAGAACUCGUCUUUUUACUCAUGUGAAAUGCUCUGCUUAGUGGAAAUGAUGAACCUUGAGUUUCAUUUUGCCCUACUUUUACCCGUUACAUUUUUUGGUAGUAAAAUUGUUCCGUGUAUCUCCUUGUUGCCGGCGCGGCACACAGGUUUUUGCUGUGGCCUCCAAAUAAUCGUUUUCUUAUUGAUUUGUGGGUGUUUUUUUAGUCUUUUGGGAGUUAAAUUUGUUUAUGUAAUCCUGUGUAUAAAAUUCUAUCAAAUUUAAGACUUAACGUGCUGUGUCCUAAAUGGAUUUCAUUCUUGGGGUGCCUGGGUGGCUUGGUUGUGUUUGACACUUGCCUAGGAGUUGUAAAGAUAUUCUCAAACGAUGGCUUAUUUUUUUAAAUUUAUUUUUAAUUUUUUAAAUUUAUUUAUCUAUUUUUAGAGAGAGAGAGAGAGAGAGGGAGAGAGAAUUCCAAGCAGGCUCUGCACAGUCAACACACAGCCAGUCACAGGGCUCAAACUCACCAACUGUGAGACUACGGAUGAUGUUAGCUUAAAUCAAGAGUCCUGUGCUUAACUCAGCCAACCAGGUGUCCCUCUCAUACCUUACUUUUAAAAGAAUUUUAUUUUGAGAGAGAGAGGGAGAGAGAGAGAGAGAGAGAGAGAGAGAGAGAGAGAGAGAGCGAGCACGCGUGGGGGAGGGGCAGAGAGAGAGAAUCCCAAGCAGGCUCCACACUGUCAGCACAGAGCCCAACGCAGACUCAAACCCACUAACCUUGAGAUCAUGGCAAGAAAUCGAGUCCAGCGCUUAACGGACUGAGCCACCCAGGUGCCCCCCCUUUAAUACUUUUAAUUGUGUAAACAUUUUGUUUAGCCAUUCAUUAUAACAUUUUGUUGCUAACCAUUUUGUUUAUUCAUUCAUGCAUAGAUGGCCAUUUGGGUUGUUUCCACCCUGUGGUUGUGGUAAAUAAUGCUUCUGUGAACAAAUAUUUGAGUCUCUGCUUUCACUUCUUUUGGGUGUGUACACAGAAGUGGAAUUGCUCGAUUAGUAGUACUGUGUUUGAUUUUCUGAGGACCUGCUCUACUCUGUUCCACAGUGGCUGCUGCACUUUACAUUUCCACCAGCAGACCACAAGGGUUCCGAUUUCUCCACAUCCUCACCAACAUUGGUUUAAGUUUUAAAAAUAAGGAAAAAUGCAUGCCUUAGUUGGUUGAGGGUCCAACUUCCAUUCAGGUCAUGAUCUCACGUGAGGUGGAGCCCCACAUAGGGCUCUAGGCUGACAGUUCAGAGCCUGCUUGGGAUUCUGUUUCUCUCCUUCUCCCACACUCAUGCUUUCUCUCUCUCUAAAUAAAUAAACUUUAAAAAAUUAAAAAUAAUAGCCAUCUUCAUGAGUGUGAUUUUCUUUUGCUUUCAGUUUUUAGGCAUUGCAUUAUUUUUUUUCUUCCAAGUUUUUUAUUUAUAUUUGUCUUUAUUUUUUAUAGCUUAUAAUUACAGAAUCAAAUCCAUGAAAGAAGAUGUUUUGGGGAAGUCUAGCUUUUAUCCCUGUGCCCUCUACCCUCUUGCCUGCAUUCCCUUAGAGGAAACAUUUGAUUGUUUUAAUGGACUCUUCUUUUUUCCCCUUAGCUAAGUGAAAUAUAUCCAGUCACAACCUCUUCCCUCUUCUCAGUCACAACCUGUUCCCUUCUUAGGUGAACACAUGGACUUCUCUGCUCCUCUUUUAGCAGCUGGCUUUGAGCAGUGUCAGAGAAGUGGUGUCCUUUACUGAACUGCAAUGACAUGGGUGGAUUCCUGUGAUUUGCUAUAUUACAUCAAUAACUCAAUGAGGAGCCUUCUGCUAACACUUUUCUGUAUUUUUCCAGAUAGUCUUUGAGAUGGAUUCCUAAAAAUGGGAUUGUGGGUCAAGGCUGGCUCCAUACAGGAUAGUGCUGGAGACCUGCCCUUUCCAUUCCCACCAUCACUGGGUAUGUCCCCUGUUGUCACACUGGGGAUUUUUGUCAGUCUGAGAGGUGAGAAAUGGCACUUCAGUGCAGUUUUAAUAUGCAUUUAUCUUAUGAUCAAGGUUAAGGAGCCCUGUGUGGGGCUCAAACUCACGACCCUGAGAUCCAAGACCUUAGCUGAGAUCAAGAGUCAGAUGCUUAACCAACUGAGCCACCCAGGCACCCCAAAGUUAAGGAUAUUUUUAUAUUUAAGUGCCAGUUACCUUUCUUUUUCUGUAAACUACUCAUAUCAUUUGCGUAUCUGAAAAAUGUAGGAUUGUAGGGUUUUCUUCUUCCUCGGUUGGCAUUUUCACUUUGAGAUCUUUACUGUUUGUCUUUUACUUUGUUCAUGGUGUUUCUUUUGCUAUCCAUACACUGGUUGUAACAUUGUACCUGCCUGUAUUGAUUCUGGAUUUUGGUUAGGAAAGUUCUCCUCACUUCUAGGUUAUUGAGGAAACUUACCCAUGUCGUCUAACAUUUGCAUAGUUUUAUUAUUAUUUUUUCAAGUAAUCUCUAUGAUCAACGUGGGGGCUGGAACUCAUGACCCUAAGAUCAAGAGUCAGACACUCCUCUGAUUCAGCCAGCCAGGCACCACUUGCAUGGUAUCUUAGUUCACAUUUCAACCUCCAGUCCAUUUCAGACUUAACUAUGGUUUAUGAUGUGAGGAUCUUUUGCACGUCUGUAGAAAUUUUAGACUCGGCUUGUCAAUUCUCAUAAAAAUGUCUGGGAAGUGAAUGCACCGAAUUUAGAGAUCAAUUUGCAGGGACUUCAGUCUUCUAGUCUUCAAACAUGAUGUCUCUGUCCAGUUUUUACUUCUCUCAGCAAUGAUCUGUAUUUUUUUAGUGUGACGGUCUCGCACAUCUUUACUUUUAGCCCUAGAUAUUUAAUUUUUUAAAAUUGUUUUAAAAAUUAAAAAAAAUUAACUUUUAAAAAAAAUUUAAUAUUUAUUUUGAGAGACAGUGAACAGGGGAAAGAUAGAGAGGGAGACAUGGAAUCUGAAACAGGCUCCAGGCUCCUAGCUGUCAGCACAGAGCCUGACACAGGGCUCGAAACUACAAACCAUGAGAUCAUGACCUGAGCUGAAGUCAGAUGCUUAACAGCCACCCAGAUGCCCCAAAAAUUAAAAAAAAUUUUUAAAAAUGUUUAUUUAUUUUUGAAAGAGAAAGAGAGAGUGCAAGCAGGGGAGGGGUGGAGAGAGAGAGAGAGAGAGAGAGAGAGAGAGAGAGAGAGAGAGAGAUCUGAAGCAGGCUCCAGGCUUUGAGCUGUCAGCUGUCAGCACAGAGCCCGAUGCAGGGCUCGAACCCACAAAUUGUGAGAUUAUGACCUGAGCCAAAGUCAGACGCUUAACCAACUGAGCCACCCAGGCGCCCCUCAGUAUUUUAUGUUUUUGAAUGCUAUUAAAAAUGGUGAAGAUUUUUUAAAAUUUCAUUUUCCAACUGCUCAUUGGUAGCAUAUAGAAAUACAACUGACCUUUGUAUAUUGACCUUGUGUACUGUGAUAUUGCUGAACCCCCUUAGUUCCCUGAGCUUUUCUGUAGAUUCUUCAGGACCUUAUAGACAAUGUUAUUGUGCAUGAGCAGGAUGGUUUCUCUUCCUCCUUUCCAAUCUAUCAACCACUAUCCUUACUGCACUGGCCACACUCUCCCCCAGUACAAUGCUAUUAGAAGUGGUGAUAACGGGCAGGGCACUCGUGUCUUGCUCCAGACCUUGGGGUGGGGGAGGGUACGUCUUGAAUAUUUCAUCGUUAACAUGUUAGCUGUGAGUUUUUUUCUCAGAUGAUCUUUAUCAAAUUGGAGAUGUUUCUUCUUUUUUCUAGUUUGCUAUACUAGAAGAGUAGAGUAGUCCAUACUGACAGUUGCCCUGUUCCUGUAUUUCUAUUGCAUUUUAUUCUAUCACACGAAUAACCACAGUUAUUUAUCUAUUGUUGAAGGACAUUUUGGUCAGUUACAGUUUUUGGUUAUGAAUAGUGCUCCUCAGAACAUUCCUAUUUGUGUCUUUCGGUGUACAGAUUUUGCACCUGUUCGGUACCUAUGUAGGAAUGGAAUUACUGGGUCAUAGAGUAGGAGAUUCUCAGCUUUAGUGGACACGUCAGUUUUCCAAAGUGGUUGUAGCAGCUUGCACAUCCACCAGCAGCUUCGGAGCAUCCUGGUUGCUCCACAUGCUCACGACACCUGAUAUUGUCUUUUCAGACACGCAGGUGGGUUAGUAGGUAUCACGUUGUGGCUUUAACUUUCAUUUUAAGCUGAACACCUUUUAUUAUUAUUCAAUGGCUCAGGAUAAUCUGUUUUGUGAAAUGCCUCUUCAGCUCUUUGUCCAUUUUUCUAGUUUGUGUCUUAACUGAUUUUUAGUAGUUUCUUAUAGAAGUCCUUUGAAUAGAUACAUGUACUGCAGACAUCUUUCCAGGUUUGUGGCAUGCUUUUUUUUUUUUUUAAUACUUUUUAAAAGCUGAUUUGUUUGCAUAAUCUCUACACCCCACGUGGGAUUUGAACUCAUGACCCCAAGAUCAAGAGUCACAUGUUCUACCGACUGAGCCAGCCAGGCACCCCUGUCGUCCCUUUUCAGAUAGUUGAAAUUAGUUUUUUUCCUUUUAUGAUUAGUGCUGGUUUUGGUUCUAAGAAAUCUUUGUGUGUCCCAAAGUCAUCAAGCCUGUAUUUUCUCUUCUGUAUCUGUAUUUUUUCCUAAAAGCCUUAAACUUUACCUUGAACAUUCAGCUCUACAUUUCACCUGGAAUUUUUAUGUCUGAUGUGACACAGGCAGUGAGGAUUAUAUUUGUUUUUCUAUACUGAUAUCCAGUUGAUGUGACACCAUUAUUGAAAAGACUAUUCUUUCCCUACUGCCCUGCAAUGUCUUUAUGUAUGUGGGUCUAUUCCUGGACUUCUCUUCCAUUGUAAACCACGUUGUCUCAACUACUGUAGCAUAUGGAUAAGUCUCGAUAUCUAGGCUUGUUGGUCUUUUUUUUUUUUUUUUUUCAGCGUUUUUUAUUUAUUUUUUUUGGGACAGAGAGAGACAGAGCAUGAACGGGGGAGGGGCAGAGAGAGAGAGGGAGACACAGAAUCGGAAACAGGCUCCAGGCUCUGAGCCAUCAGCUCAGAGCCCGACGCGGGGCUCGAACUCACGGACCGCGAGAUCGUGACCUGGCUGAAGUCGGACGCUUAACCGACUGCGCCACCCAGGUGCCCCAAGGCUUGUUGGUCUUUAAGAUCAUAAUAGCUGUAUUUUGACCGUUGUAUUCCCAUAUAAUUUUUAAAAAAUAUUUGAGAGAGAGAGCACGAGCAGGGGGAGGGUAGAGAGAGAGGGGGAGAGAGAAUCCCAAGCAGGAUCCAGACCCAGCAUCGAGCCCAACAUGGGAUUUGAUCCCACAACCCUGAGAUCGUGACCAGAGCUGAAAUCAAGAGUUGGGCACCCAGGCACCCUUCCCAUAUACAUUUUAGAUGUGCCAGUUUCCACCAUAAAACUUUCUGGGAUUUUGAUUGGUAUUUGCAGUGAAACUACAGAUCGAUUUGGGGAGAAUAAUCUGUGGGAUGUUGAAUCUUCCAAUCCAUGACUAUGUUACUCUAUUCGUUUAGGUCUUCUCUCAACAAUUGUACUUUUCAGUAUUUCUUCUUUCAUUAGAUUUAUUUUCUGAUAUUUGAUGUUUUAGGAUCCAACUCUAAAUGAUACGGUUUUCUUUUGUUGUGAGAUAUAUGUUGUACACAUACACACACAACUUGACUUUUGUAUAUGAAUCUGUAUCCUAUCACCUUGACUAUAGAUAUUUAUCGAUUAUCUGGAUUUUCACGUACACAAAUUCCACUUCUGAGUUUUGUUUUUCCUUUCCAGAUUCUUAAACUGUUUCCUUUUAUUGUUUGACUGGGCUGACUAGGGCCUCCAGCACAAGGUCUUAUAGGGGUGGUGGCAGCAGACACGUGUAUACCUUGUUCUUUAUCUCAGAGGCACCCAGUGCUCACCUAUAAGCAGGAUGGGUUUUUUGCAAACACAUCAAGGAAGUUCCUGGUCCUUGGGGCAUGGCUUUAUUUCUAGUAUACCCUAUCCCAAGUGUAGACCAAAUUUCCCUAAUAAACUCCUCAGAGGCAUCA